rnacentral:lncRNA from 1 species
GGGGGGCGCUGGGUGUGGGGCGGCUCCGGGGCCGGGGAUGGCGGCGGCCGCGGUUGCGGCGGCUCCGGGACGAGUGAGUGGAUCCUGGGAAGCGCUGUGAAAUGGGCUGGCUCCCGAGCCAGCCGGGAGGACACUUACUACAGCUGCUCAGAAGCACCACUGGAAACUCAGGUAUUAGGUUGCAGCGUCUAGGGCACACCACAGACUUUGGCAAGAAAAAAAACGAGUGAAAUCUCAGCUUGAUGAAAAGAGAGUGCGUUCCCACCUCCAGCUCUGGUGCAGUUCCCACGGAGCAAAGCAAACUCGACUGAAUCCAAGUGAUCUGUAUCUGCCAAAAAGGAGAGGACAAGAAAGCUGGUCACUUAGCCGCCUGGCUGUUCACCUGACCCCUGGGGUUGGGUCUGGGGCGUGUCUAAUCAGCCGAGAUGGUCCCUCUGCUUCUUCAAGCAUGAGCCCAGAAUGCCUGAGCCUGCCCUGGCAUCG